GACACCGUCAUGUAUUAACUCUGGAAGGACACAGAACUGAUUAGCAUGGCCCCUAUGCAAAGAUGACACACACAUUUGUGAAGCACUGCAUAUUUCU
ensembl:snRNA U6 U6 spliceosomal RNA